rnacentral:lncRNA from 1 species
AGAACUUCAAUAGGCAGUGUUUUUGUGUGAUGGAUCAGCACAUAACAUGUAGCUUGCCUACUCAUCAUUUUACAUUGAUUCUCCAACUCUUUUUUUAUCUUACAACACAGUUAAUACUGAAUAAGGAUAAAUAAUCCCACAAGUCUAUAACUCCAACUACUAAGCUUAACAAAUAGGUCUCAUUCACUAUAUGUAAUUGACAGGCCUAGUGGAAUGUAAUAGUUGAGUCCAAUGGUACCCUUUUGAUAAUAUAUCUGAAUUUUGAUGUCGUUGUUAAAACGCAUGGUAUUGGUCAGAGCUAACUCAGUAGACAUCGUUACAUUGUGUUGGUUUUUUUCGGAGGGGGAGGGGUUGACCAGCAGAAUUAGCAGUAUAUCCCACAUCAUCAGAAGCAUAUACUAGAAACAUAUACAGACCCUGCAAGAAUGAUUCGAACAUCAAAAGAGUAAUAAAUAAUCUAUCAUUUGAAAUCCUACAUAUGUUCAAAGCACUUCAUGAUGAUUCAUAGGCAUAAGUAGAAAAUAAGAACGAGUAUACAAAUACAUGUUAGCAAAUAACUCACCAGCAACAGUUGCAGCUGCCCUUUCCAUCUUCUUAGCAUUAGCAACUUGAGCCAUAAGUUUCGAAAUUUCCCGUUCGAUAGAACGUAUGUUCUCCUCCAAAAUCUGAGUCAUCUCAUCGUUGACAGCAUGCAUAACUUGUUUACAUAUUCAAGGGCAGCCUUGUUCAAUUUAUGAAUAUAUAUAUACACCUUGUACAAAUCUACAAACUACUAAUUUAUAGAUAUAACCAAUGACAUAGUAUAACUAAUUCAAAGCUGAAAAUACACCUAAAAAACAUGUAUUUAAAAACAUAUUUAAAUAUGCUAGAAUUGUUGUUUAAAAACAUACUCCCUCCGUCCAUUUUUAUUUGUCCAUUUUGGAAAAAAACACACAUACCAAAGAAUAAUUGAUUGUAUAAACUUUUUCAUUAAAUACCUCUAAUUAAUAUCUUGAAAAUGGUGGAAUACCUCUACUUUAUGUCUUGAAAACAUGAAUUCAACCAAGUUUUAAAUAAGCCAAGCCUUGAAAAUUGAAAUUAUGGAGAUAUAUUUGAAAAAUUAUCAUUAAAUUAGUUUUGAAACUAUAAAUGGACAGAUAAAUAGGGACAAAUUUUUACUUCCAAAGUGGACAGAUAAAUAGGGACGGAGGGAGUAUUUAAGUAGGCUAGAAGCUCUACUUUUCAAGCAUCUUCACUGAGAAUUGUUGUUUAUCAUGUGCAGGUUUAACAUAUUUUUUGUUAUUAGGAAGUUUUUAUCUAAAUUAUCCUAAAACUAUACGGAUAUAAGUAUGACCUUUAGGUUAAAAAUGUUAGGCAUUGUACUAGUGGUGUGCAGGCACAUGAGGUCCAUAACAAUAACAAUGUAGAGAAAUUCAAGAUAGAAUGCAUGUUAGGAAUCACAAACCUAUGCAUUUAAAUAACACGAGACAAUGAUAGUAUCUAGCUUCAAGAUUUUUACAGUAUUCAUACAUAAUAUUUUGCUCUUUCUUCACCAACCUAAGCUCCCUAACCCCAUAUAUGUAAGCAAGAAACACAAAAACAUAUAAUCAAACAUAUCAAAAAGUUAUUUAUUUAUUUUUUUGAUUUUUAAGGUUUGUACGCAACAACGUGUAUAAGUGAUUUUUUUUUAAAAGCAUAAACAUAUCAACCCUCAACAUAAAUUCAAUAUCAAUUAACAUGGAAUAAUUUUUCUAUGAAAGUAAAAUAAUAUUACCUUAAGAUAUUUGUCAAUGUCACACACUUAUGGGCAUAUGAAUCUCAGUCUUUUUUGGAGCAUUUUCUCCAUUAUUUUCUUGAAGUAUUUCAUUAAUAGAUGUUAGAGAUGAUGAAUAUGAAAGAAUGUGGUAGGUGAGUUAUGCUAAAACAAAUCUAUCAAACUAAUUUAAAGAUAUUAGAGAUAUAUGAUGUGGGGAUUUCGCAUAGAGAAUUCAAUGUGUUGGACAAUAAAAUUUUAAGCUUAUUUUUUGAGAAAUAUUACCAUGAUUUUAGUUUUUAUCUAGAGAAAGACAAUAUGUAGAGUCAAGAUUUUACCACCAGUAAAUUAUUUAUUUUCUCGUUUUCUUUUCUUUUCAAAUCCUUCUCUAGCUACCCUCCUACUUGUUGGCCACCUACCCUAGCAAACACACACAAAAUAAAAAGAUAAUGGGAGCUAGUUACUAUUGAAGACAAAAAUUAGUAUUUGUCCACAAAAACCUCAAUCAAUCAAUAGGCUGGUAUCAGAUAACUUUGUUAAUAGAAAUUAAGUUAUAAGUUAGUUGAGGUAAAGAAAAAUUAAUAUCUACUAUAACCGAGUUAUUUAAAUAAUUAAGUAUCCAUUCAACAAGGUCUAUGAAAUUAAACUUAUUACUACAAAGCUAAUAAUUUUUAUCUUAAAACCAGAGACUCGUGCUCUUCCUAAAACUUUUACCCUAAAGUGGGGUAGGUUUUUUACCUUAAAAAAAGAGCAAUUACAAAAACAAACAAAAAAUUAUACUUGCAAACUAAAAUUACACACAAAAAUUAUAUUUUACAAAAAGAGUGUGGAUAUGAGUGUAAGAACCAGUCAAAUCAGGUCAGCAGCUAUAUUAAUAUAUAGGUAGCAGGUGAUCUUAAGUUUCAUUUUGGAAUUAGAAGAUUUUAGAAUCUAAUUUUAUAGAACAAAGAUGAAUAAGACUAACUAAUAUUUAUAAAAAUAAGACUACACAUUGUUUCAUAUAGUUCUAGGGAUGUGUUCACUAAUAUCCACCUAAUUUUUCUUUGAUUGAAUCAACCUCCAUUUGAUGCACAAACAACAACCCGAUGUCAAAAAUAAAAAAUAAUGUCUCCAAAUUAUCAAUUCAAUACUCAUUAUAUAAUAAAUUAUAACAAACAUUCAAAAAAAAAAACUAUAUAUUGAAUGGUUUUCAAACACAAAAUGGAUCUUAAGAAUUAUAUUACGAUUACAUUUUUUGCCAACAUAAAAACAUAAAUAUACAAAAACUGUAAUAUAAACCUUGUUAAAAAGUUAAUUGAAAAGUGAAAUCAAUAUAAUAAAUCCUUAGCAUAAUGAUAACACUAAAUCUGGGCCACCUAAGACAAAAAAAAAUGACUAAAGCAAAAAAACUUCAAUAACAAAUUCUAUAGAGAGGUAUAUAAAAUUCUAUAGAGAGGUAUAUAGUAGAAAUUACCUUCGAUCCUGCUAUUCUUUAUCACUCUCCUGUGACCGUAAAUAAUAGGUGCACCGCAACCUCUGAUAAAAGGUAGUGUAUAACCUCUGAUAAAAGCCAUAUGUAUAACCCUACUGGACAUCUAUUUAUAGUGAUUAUGUACAUGUGGGAUAAUUAUUUAAGGCCCAGUGCAAGAAAAAUGUUGGGCCUUUUAAGAUAUUAAUAGUUUAGAUUUUAUUAUAAUUUCAAAUUUCUAUGGAGUACAAAAAAUAUUGAAGUAUUGGUGUACAAGAUUCAUACAAUAUAAUCAAUCCAAAAUCUUCAUUUUUUGUGUUCUACAAUAUUUGUAAACAUCCGACAACCUGCAGAUUAUGUUCUACAACAUAAACAUUGUAAUCAAAAGAUAGAACAAUUACUUUUAUAAAUUGUUAGGACAUUAUGUUCUGCAAUAUAACUUAUAAGCAUAACACCAAUCUUAAUACUUGUUAAAGUUGAAAUAUAUUAAUGAUUAAUUAAUAAUUAUGUUUAAUACUACUUAUAAAUUAUAAAUUAUAUACAAAUUUGGAUAAUCA